GAUGAACGCUGGCGGCGUGCCUAAUACAUGCAAGUCGAGCGAACGGACGAGAAGCUUGCUUUUCUGAUGUUAGCGGCGGACGGGUGAGUAACACGUGGAUAACCUACCUAUAAGGCUGGGAUAACUUCGGGAAACCGGAGCUAAUACCGGAUAAUAUUUUUAACCGCAUGGUUCAAAAGUGAAAGACGGUCUUGCUGUCACUUAUAGAUGGAUCCGCGCUGCAUUAGCUAGUUGGUAAGGUAACGGCUUACCAAGGCAACGAUGCAUAGCCGACCUGAGAGGGUGAUCGGCCACACUGGAACUGAGACACGGUCCAGACUCCUACGGGAGGCAGCAGUAGGGAAUCUUCCGCAAUGGGCGAAAGCCUGACGGAGCAACGCCGCGUGAGUGAUGAAGGUCUUCGGAUCGUAAAACUCUGUUAUUAGGGAAGAACAUAUGUGUAAGUAACUGUGCACAUCUUGACGGUACCUAAUCAGAAAGCCACGGCUAACUACGUG
rnacentral:rRNA from 1 species